rnacentral:tRNA from 11 species
GAGAAAGAGAGAGAAAGAAAAGAAAAGAAAAGCAAACAUUGCACAGAGGAUGCUCACGCCGAUUCACCCAUUCAUCCUUCUUUUCUUCUUGUCCCUCUUUCUUUCUUCCU